AUGAACGCUAGCGGCAGGCUUAACACAUGCAAGUCGAGGGCAGCACUUGUAGCAAUACAUGGUGGCGACGGCGCAAGGGUGCGUAACGCGUGAGCAACAUGCCCGUAUCAGGGGGAUAAUCCAGGGAAACUUGGUCUAAUACCCCAUAGCAAUUAUUUGAGGCAUCUUAAUAAUUUAAAGCUUUGGUGGAUACGGAUUGGCUCGCGUGACAUUAGCUAGAUGGUAAGGUAACGGCUUACCAUGGCUACGAUGUCUAGGGGUUCUGAGAGGAAGAUCCCCCACACUGGAACUGAGACACGGUCCAGACUCCUACGGGAGGCAGCAGUGAGGAAUAUUGGACAAUGGAUGGAAAUCUGAUCCAGCCAUGCCGCGUGCAGGAAGACGGCCCUAUGGGUUGUAAACUGCUUUUGUGUGGGAGCAAUAAGGUCUAUGCGUAGACUGAUGAGAGUACCAUACGAAUAAGCAUCGGCUAACUCCGUG
rnacentral:rRNA from 1 species